rnacentral:rRNA from 1 species
GAUGAACGCUGGCGGCGUGCCUAAUACAUGCAAGUCGAGCGAACAGACGAGGAGCUUGCUCCUCUGACGUUAGCGGCGGACGGGUGAGUAACACGUGGAUAACCUACCUAUAAGACUGGGAUAACUUCGGGAAACCGGAGCUAAUACCGGAUAAUAUAUUGAACCGCAUGGUUCACUAGUGAAAGACGGUUUUGCUGGCACUUAUAGAUGGAUCCGCGCCGCAUUAGCUAGUUGGUAAGGUAACGGCUUACCAAGGCAACGAUGCGUAGCCGACCUGAGAGGGUGAUCGGCCACACUGGAACUGAGACACGGUCCAGACUCCUACGGGAGGCAGCAGUAGGGAAUCUUCCGCAAUGGGCGAAAGCCUGACGGAGCAACGCCGCGUGAGUGAUGAAGGUCUUCGGAUCGUAAAACUCUGUUAUUAGGGAAGAACAAAUGUGUAAGUAACUAUGCACGUCUUGACGGUACCUAAUCAGAAAGCCACGGCUAACUACGUG